rnacentral:sRNA from 12 species
UGCCUAAACUUCGCGCAAGCGGAGCAUGGCAAUAAAACCCGCUACAGGGACGAGAGCUCCUCGUCAGUUUGCCUGUAGCGGGUCAUUAGCCGAAAGGUUAGUGGGGAUUCCGAAAGGAGUUCC